UUCAGCAAUUAGUCAGUUCUGCCAGCCAACCCAGUACACCUCAGUGUUUUCUUUCUUACUCCAAAGUUGCUACCGGAUUUGGAAUACAGCGAAGCAUGUAGCAUCCUGAAUAUAAUGAAUGGGCCUUGGAUAGAGCAGCCUUCGAAAGUUUGGAGCAGCGGUGACUGUUGGCAUUCAGUUACAGGCUUAGCUGGCACAAGUAGAUGCUGACAUCGAUCUCUCUACAAUAUUUAUUGCAUGGAUGCAACAACAUUUGGUAGUGUGAUGUGAAAAAUUGUCCUGCCUACAUGUCAGUUUUGUCUUGAAUAUGCCUCUUAAGUUUUGGUGCUGGGCAUUAGAGAGUUCUCUUAAUUUUCUUUUGUAGAAAAAACAAGGUCGCGUCUGGAUUUACGAGCACCAACAGUAUUGAACAUGUAAGUUAGUAAUGCCCCUGGUGCUGAUGGGAUGCUGUUGACAUUGCUGCUCAGUGACAAAUUGCCACGCUCUGUUCUUUGUAUAGAUUGCGUUUGAAUGACUUGGCAUUGUUAUGUUAACUAAUCUAAAUAGUAAAUGAUUUUGCGGUCGGACUUAUGUUGAUUAUUGCAUCAAAUUUAA